GAAAUGCGAUAAUUAAUGUGAAUUGCAGAAUUCAGUGAAUCAUCGAGUCUUUGAACGCACAUUGCGCCCCCUGGUAUUCCGGGGGGCAUGCCUGUCCGAGCGUCAUUGCUGCCCUCAAGCACGGCUUGUGUGUUGGGCUUCCGUCCCUGGCAACGGGGACGGGCCCAAAAGGCAGUGGCGGCACCAUGUCUGGGCCUCGAGCGUAUGGGGCUUUGUCACCCGCUCCCGUAGGUCCAGCUGGCAGCUAGCCUCGCAACCAAUCUUUUUAACCAGGUUGACCUCGGAUCAGGUAGGGAUACCCGCUGAACUUAAGC
rnacentral:misc_RNA from 1 species